GACGAACCGAGCGAACGUUAUUCGGAAUCACUGGGCUUAAAGGGCGCGUAGGCGGGCCGCCAAGUCAGGGGUGAAAGCCCCCAGCUCAACUGGGGAAGUGCCUUUGAUACUGGCGGUCUCGAGGGGGAUAGGGGCGUGCGGAACUUCCGGUGGAGCGGUGAAAUGCGUAGAUAUCGGGAGGAACACCGGUGGCGAAAGCGGCGCGCUGGAUCCCUUCUGACGCUGAGGCGCGAAAGCCAGGGGAGCGAACGGG
rnacentral:rRNA from 1 species